rnacentral:rRNA from 1 species
CCUACGGGAGGCAGCAGUGGGGAAUAUUGCACAAUGGGGGAAACCCUGAUGCAGCGACGCCGCGUGUGUGAAGAAGUAUUUCGGUAUGUAAAGCUCUAUCAGCAGGGACGAGGCAAGAAGGUACAUGACUAAGACGCACCGGCUAACUCCGUGCCAGCAGCCGCGGUAAUCCGGAGGGGGCCAGCGUUAUCCGGAAUCACUGUGUGUAAAGGGAGCGUAGUCGGCUGAGCAAGCCUGAAGUGAACGGCGGGGGCUCAACCCCGGAACUGCAUUUGGGACUGUCCGGCUGGAGUGCAGUAGAGGUAAGUAGAAUUCCUAGUGUAGCGGUGAAAUGCGUAGAGAUUAGGAGGAAUACCAGUGGCGAAGGCGGCUUACUGGACUGUAACUGACGUUGAGGCGCGAAAGCGUGGGGAGCAAACAGGAUUAGAUACCCCUGUAGUC